AUAUAAUCACUUUACGUUGAAAAUGCAUACAAAUAGAAAUUGAAUUAUUAGAAUUAAAAUUAUAAAUAAUUCAUCUUAUCUUUAAGGACAUUUAAGUAUUUUGACAAUAAAAAGUGUUUAACAUCACUUGUUUAGCAAACACAUCAAUAAUUUUUUUUUCAGUUUAAGCACUUCUAUUCAAACACAUAUCUAUUAAUUAUAAGCACUUAUUUUAAUCUAUUAAUCACUUGAGCUAAAAAAUUAUUUUUUUUUAACCGUAUACAAACGGGCUCUUAGACCUAAAGAAUUCUGCCCAAAGAGAUUUUUCUGUUCUUAGCCUUAACCACUUUUGGCAUAGAAAGUUAAACAACUAUCCAACUAGUUUUUGAAGCCGCAAGCCCCCCCUCCAGAAACUCAUGUUAUCCGAAGAGGACCGGUGAUAAUUAUUUUUUCCUCCACAUUUCCCCCAGAAAAAAUUUGAGAAAUGCAUCUUGAUAUGAUUAAGAAAUGUAACCGUGAGCAUAUUACAGCAGCAAAGAUAUGAAAUGGUUGCAACUGCCGGACGUGUUUGAUGAUAAUCGCCUUACCACAGGAAGAAAGGAACCUGUCUUGCCAACCUACAACUUUGUUCAUAAUUUUCUUGGAGAUGUCAGCAAAUAGAAAAUUAUAUUCAUCCCUGAAUA
rnacentral:lncRNA from 1 species